rnacentral:tRNA from 1 species
GCCGAAAUAGCUCACAUGGGAGAGCGUUAGACUGAAGAUCUGAAGGUCCAUGGUUCAAUCCCGUGUUUUGGCA